UACCAGCUCGCGCUCGCCUCGAGCAACGUCACAAAGGGACGCGAUGACGCAAUGAUCGAAGAGUUCCGAAGCGGACGUACAGGUCGCGCGCCGCCGGAGUAAACGCACGAUUGAGCCAAAUGUGUGCGAAGUUUCUGAGAAAGCUGCUCAAAGAUGCAGCAGGUUCAUCUUGGAGGACCACCAUGGACCUGAGGGCACAUGGCUCCAUUCUCUAAAGCUCAGAAGUGAUGGAGAUGGAGGAAGGGAUGGAUGGAUGAUGGCUUCAGGGGGCUGA
rnacentral:lncRNA from 1 species